rnacentral:lncRNA from 1 species
UCAAAAUUAAGCAUGGCAAAGUUCCUGCAAAAGAAAUUAUGUAAUUUUUUUACCAAACAACAUGGUUGUAAAAAUUGCUAGGCGCCAGUCGGCCAGUGGGGUACCGACUAGCGAUUAAUUGAGACUAAUUGGGAUUAAUUGGAUUGGGAUUUUUAUAUGUAUUAUUCAGCUUUAUAUAUGUACACACAUUUUUAUAGGUAAAUAUUUUAAGUAGACAGGUUUUAAGUUUUAAUCCCUCCUCGACCCAUAUUUUAUGUAUACAACAUUAAUCGCCGGAAUUACAUGGUUUGGUUGGAAACUGGCGGGAAUUUAGGUUUUGGCCGGAAUCGCCGAUUUUUGGCCGGCCAACUAGGGCCAAUUAGGGCUGACUACUGAUGAAUGAAAAAUUACUCAGGUGACUGGCCAACUAGCGAUUAAUCGCCGACUAGGCAAAUGGGUUGAAAGUCGCCCAAAGUCUAUU